rnacentral:tRNA from 1 species
GGAGAGGUGUCCGAGAGGCUUAAGGAGCACGAUUGGAAUUCGUGUGUACGUUUGUAGCGUACCGAGGGUUCGAAUCCCUCUCUCUCCGCCA